UACGAAGGGGGCUAGCGUUGCUCGGAAUCACUGGGCGUAAAGGGUGCGUAGGCAGGUUUUUAAGUCAGGGGUGAAAUCCUGGAGCUCAACUCCAGAACUGCCUUUGAUACUGAAGAUCUUGAGUUCGGGAGAGGUGAGUGGAACUGCGAGUGUAGAGGUGAAAUUCGUAGAUAUUCGCAAGAACACCAGUGGCGAAGGCGGCUCACUGGCCCGAUACUGACGCUGAGGCACGAAAGCGUGGGGAGCAAACAGG
rnacentral:rRNA from 1 species